CUCAACCUGGGAAUGGCGUUCGAUACUGUCCAGCUAGAGUCUGGUAGAGGGAAGUGGAAUUUCCGGUGUAGCGGUGAAAUGCGUAGAUAUCGGAAGGAACACCAGUGGCGAAGGCGACUUCCUGGACCAAGACUGACGCUGAGGUGCGAAAGCGUGGGUAGCAAACAGGAUUAGAUACCCUGGUAGUCCACGCCGUAAACGAUGAGAACUAGCCGUUGGACCCAUUUAAGGGUUUAGUGGCGCAGCUAACGCAAUAAGUUCUCCGCCUGGGGAGUACGGCCGCAAGGCUAAAACUCAAAGGGAUUGACGGGGGCCCGCACAAGCGGUGGAGCAUGUGGUUUAAUUCGAUGCAACGCGAAGAACCUUACCUGCCCUUGACAUCCUCGGAACUUGGUAGAGAUACCUUGGUGCCUUCGGGAGCCG
rnacentral:rRNA from 1 species